CAACAGGGAUUGCCUUAGUAACUGCGAGUGAAGCGGCAAAAGCUCAGAUUUGAAAUCCGCCGUCUUUGACGGUCGAGUUGUAAUCUGGAGAGGCAUCUUCUGGUGGGUGGUCGGCCCAAGUUCUUUGGAACAGGACGUCAGAGAGGGUGAGAAUCCCGUAUCUGGCCGGCUCGUCCCGCCUUGUGAAGUGUCUUCAACGAGUCGAGUUGUUUGGGAAUGCAGCUCAAAAUGGGUGGUAAAUUUCAUCUAAAGCUAAAUAUUGGCGGGAGACCGAUAGCGCACAAGUAGAGUGAUCGAAAGAUGAAAAGCUCUUUGAAAAGAGAGUCAAAAAGUACGUGAAAUUGUUGAAAGGGAAGCGCUUGAGACCAGAUUCGGUUGUGGGUGAUCAGCCGGGGUUUUACUCCGGUGCACACACCCUCUUCCGGGCCAGCAUCGGUUGCGGCGGCGGGAUAAAGGCCGGAGGAAUGUGGCUCCCUUCGGGGAGUGUUAUAGCCUUCGGCGUCAUGCCGCCUGCUGCGACCGAGGACCGCGCUUCGGCUAGGAUGCUGGCGUAAUGGUCUUCAGCGACCCGUCUUGAAACACGGACCAAGGAGUCUAACAUCUAUGCGAGUGUUCGGGUGUCAAACCCCUGCGCGUAAUGAAAGUGAACGGAGGUGGGAACCCCUCUCACGGGGGGUGCACCAUCGACCGAUCCUGAUGACUUCGGAUGGAUGUGAGUAGGAGCAUAGCUGUUGGGACCCGAAAGAUGGUGAACUAUGCCUGAAUAGGGUGAAGCCAGAGGAAACUCUGGUGGAGGCUCGCAGCGGUUCUGACGUGCAAAUCGAUCGUCAAAUUUGGGUAUAGGGG
rnacentral:rRNA from 1 species